UCCUCUGAGGGUUUGAUCCUGGCUCAGGGUGAACGCUGGCGGCGUGCCUAACACAUGCAAGUCGUGCGACGAACCUGGAGGGUUUUAUUUUCGGAUAGAACCUUCCGGGGGAAAGCGGCGAACGGGUGAGUAACACUUGAGUAACCUCCCCCUUGGACUGGGAUAAUUCGCCGAAAGGCGAACUAAUACCAGAUAACCUUUUUCAGUGGACUCAUUGGAAAAGGAAAGGUCUGUGAAUAACAGACCGCCGAGGGAUGGGCUCGAGUCCUAUCAGCUAGUUGGUAGGGUAAUGGCCUACCAAGGCGAAGACGGGUAGCUGGUCUGAGAGGACGGCCAGCCACACGGGGAUUGAGACACGGCCCCGACUCCUACGGGAGGCAGCAGUGGGGAAUAUUGGACAAUGCCCGAAAGGGUGAUCCAGCGACGCCGCGUGGGUGAUGAAGGCCUUCGGGUCGUAAAACCCUGUCGAGCGGGAAGAAUUCCGGCUUUGCCGGAUGACGGUACCGUUAAAGGAAGCCACGGCUAACUCCGUGCCAGCAGCCGCGGUAAUACGGAGGUGGCAAGCGUUACCCGGAUUUACUGGGUGUAAAGGGUCCGCAGGCGGUUAAGCAAGUCAGUUUUUAAAUCCUCUGGCUCAACCAGAGAAGUGGAACUGAUACUACUUAACUGUGAGUCCAGAGGGGGGAAACGGAACUGCCGGUGUAGCGGUGAAAUGCGUAGAUAUCGGCAGGAACACCCGUGGCGAAGGCGGUUUCCUACUCUGGUACUGACGCUCAGGGACGAAAGCGUGGGGAGCGAUCGGGAUUAGAUACCCCGGUAGUCCACGCUGUAAACGAUGGGUGCUGGGUGUCGGUUCGGUAAAACGGAUCGGUGCCGAAGUUAACACGUUAAGCACCCCACCUGGGGACUACGGCCGCAAGGUUGAAACCCAAAGGAAUUGACGGGGGCCCGCACAACCGGUGGAACAUGUGGUUUAAUUCGAUGAUACGCGAAGAACCUUACCUGGGCUUGACAUGCUGGUAGUAGAACCCCGAAAGGGGAACGAGCCACCGUAAGGUGGAAGCCAGCACAGGUGGUGCAUGGCUGUCGUCAGCUCGUGCCGUGAGGUGUCGGGUUAAGUCCUUGAACGAGCGCAACCCUUGCCUGUAGUUACUCGCCUUUAAAGGCAGCACUCUACAGGGACUGCCGUGGUUAACACGGAGGAAGGUGGGGAUGACGUCAAGUCAGCACGCCCCUUAUGUCCAGGGCUACACACGUGUUACAAUGGUCGGUACAGAGGGAUGCGAAGCCGUAAGGUGGAGCAAAUCUCAGAAAGCCGACCCCAGUUCGGAUUGCAGGCUGCAACCUGCCUGCAUGAAGCUGGAAUCGGUAGUAAUCGCGGAUCAGCAACGCCGCGGUGAAUACGUUCUCGGGCCUUGUACACACCGCCCGUCACGCCAACUGAGUCGGGGGUACCUGAAAAUGCUUGUAUGAGCAGAUAGGGUACGCUCGGCAAGGAGGGCGAAGUCGUAACAAGGCAGCCGUACCGGAAGGUGCGGCUGGAUCACCUCCUUU
rnacentral:rRNA from 1 species